rnacentral:tmRNA from 1 species
UCAUAGCUAUGGAUAGAUAUGGAGGUCUGCUUGGAGGAUUUCUCAGGGCGGUGCCGCCUGUCCAGAAGCCACUAUCGCUCACUGAUGGGAACAAAUUUAGAGAGGGCAUUAUGUCAGAAGUUGGUAAAUAUGUAUCCACCCUAGUUGAUCCUAGAAAUAUGAUGUUGGACUCUUUUCAUCACCUAAAACACAACAAGAGCCUUCAGGGAUCAUUUUUGGUGCAUGCUGGGACUGUCAGCGAUCAGGAAGUCUGUGGUACCCCCAUGUUUUGCUAUAAGGAUGGUCUUUCUAAUCCAGAGAUUGACAGAUUAUUGACACCUAUUUCUCUUACCCGCCUGACUGUGCCCAACAAUGAAAAUUCUGAUGUUUUUAGAAUAGGCAACAUAAUCUACAGCGAGGACUCUGGGCUGUUUGACAUAAUUCCCACGCUCAGAACAAGACUGAUGGAGAGAAACCUGCAUGAGGGACUUGUUUUUGUUGGUCCUCUGAUAAAGAACAUAAACAGUUCAUUUGUCAAUAAGAUAACUACUGCCAUAAAGGGAGAUACUGUUCUGAAUGAGUCACUUUCCCACGGCCUGGUUUUGAAACUUCCUGUAGAACAGUUUAUGGACUUUGAAACUACCAACACUUUUCACUACACCGGCAGGUUGCCAAUGACUCACCGAAGCUAUAUUUAUUAUGCUCUGGGCUAUGUGAUUACCGCAGACGGGACACAGAGCCUGCUUCAAAAAUUCUUUCGGACCCCGAUAGAGGGACCUGAAUUUACUCGCUUGAGGACCGUGGCAGUUUAUCUGAAAAUGGCGACCCAAACCAUGGACGUGGAGCCUGUUCAGACCGUGAACGCAAUUGAUGCCGCCAUCGCCGAGCUGAAGCUGAUGGCCGGCCACAGCCAUGAAGCUAAUGUGCUGGCUGGCAGGCUGCUUCAUUUUAAGAUGAGAGAAGUUUGUACCCAGACUGUGGCUCAGUUUCUGGAUGCCUUUUCCAGCGUGUUGGAUGAAGGGCUGUGUGCCUUUAUUGGAAACUACAGCCAGAGUUUGGAUGAGAUGGUUCAGCGGUAUGUGUCUGGGGGCUUUGCGGCUGUGAAGGAAAAUGGUUAUCUGGCAGCUGCUAGGUUUUAUGACACCUAUGUGCUUAGAAAUGAUGUCAAGUAUGAGAGUGUCCCCCACAUGUUUAUGCGCAUUUCGGCAUUUUGUGCUUAUCACUGCAUACAGAAUGAGUGUCUCUUCAAGACCUUGAAGCAUAUGGAGCUAGACAGGGGGAAUGUUGUGGAGAAUGCCAUGGAUUUGAUUACUUAUUUCUUUGAGAUGAUUGCUUCUCAGCAGGUGUGCUGUGCCACGCCCGUGAUGAGAUCCGCUGGUUUGAGGGAUGCUAAUUUAAGUAGUUGUUUCAUCUUUGCCCCCGCCCUGGACUCUGAGGAAAAAACUGUGGAUGCAGUGUUUUCUGAGUUAACAAAGCUGUUGGCGUGUAAGUCGGGAGUGGGUAUGGAUCUGUCCACCUACUCUCAUGGAAAGAACCUGCAUGCUGUCCUGAAGGCCCUUGAUGGACAGAUCACUUACUUUAAUGAUCACAAUAUUAGGCCCGUCAGCGUGGCUGCCUAUAUGGAGAUUUGGCAUACCAACAUCAUGGACUUUCUGACUGCGAAGCUUCCAGAGAACCCAGAACGAUGUGGCAACUUAUUUCAAGGAGUGUGCAUACCAGAGAUUUUCUUCAGAACCUACAAAAAUGAUCCAGAGUCCAAUUGGUACCUGUUUGAUCCCAAGAAGGCCGAAGUCCUAACAAACACCUAUGGGUAUAUGUUUAGUAUAGCCUACGCAGGAUUAGUGGAGCAGGGGGCAUAUGAAGCAGUGGUUCCCAUUAAGAGCGUGAUGUUCGCUCUUGUUUCCUGCAUAAUAAAGACUGGGGGGCCUUAUAUUUUGAACAAGAAAGCUAUAAACAGACAUGACUGGCAUGAAUGGUCCACACAUCAGUAUAGGGCCAUUAAUUGUGCAAAUCUUUGUGCAGAGGUGAUACAGUAUCCAGGAGAGAACGUGUCCACCUGUAACCUGGCCAAUAUCUGUCUGCCAAAGUGUUUGGAGGAUGACAAAUUUGUCUCUGGAAAGAGUUGUCUACUCACGUACGAGCGUGAGUUUUCCAUUGAGAGGCUGGAGAGGGCCACAGAGGCUGCAGUGUUUAUCAUCAAUGCCUGCAUCCAUGGUGGCACUUUACCUACACAGAGGGCCAGGCGGGGGCAGAGUGACAGGUCUAUGGGUAUUGGAGUACAAGGAUUAGCAGAUACCUUUGCUAUGAUGGGGUUGGGAUAUUUUGAUGCAGGGAGUGAGAUACUUGAUCAGAAGAUAGCAGAGACCCUGUAUUUCAAUGCACUCAAUACCAGUAUCAACUUUGUGAAGAUAGGCAAGGGGGAACCCUAUGCUAACUAUGAGCAGAGUAAGCAUUCCAUUGGGGUGCUCCAUUGGCAUGACUGGGACAUGUGUAGCCCCAUGGUCUAUACAAGAGAUGAGUGGGAAGAUUUGGCAAGGUCCUGCGAGGUACAUGGUGUAUACAAUUCACAAUUUGUGGCCUAUAUGCCUACUGCUGGCACUGGGCAAAUCACAGGUUACUCAGACUCCUUCUAUCCAUUUUAUUCAUCCAUGUCAUCCAAGGUGUCAAAUAAAGAAGAAAUCUUGCGACCCAACAUGACCCUCAUGAGCAGAAUGUCAGAUAGUGAGGUCCAGACCCUUAGGGAGUGUAACUGGGAUAUUGCCAAACUUCCAGAGCCCCUGCUGCAGAAAUAUAGAAUUUUCCUGUCAGCCUUUGAUUAUGAACCCAGCCUGUAUGUACGCAGAGCUAUGCUUAGGGCACCAUUCAUUGAUCAGAGCCAGUCUAUGACCUUGUUUUUGAAUGAAGAUUAUGCAAGCAGUGCUUCAAAUAUAAAGAAUUUGUUGAUGUAUGGGUGGGAGUGUGGGUUGAAAACCUUGAUGUACUACUGCAGAAUACGUAAAACAGCAACCUCUAACGAAUUUGAAUGUGUCAGAAGGAAUUCACAACAGAAAUAUGUAAACUGUGCUGAUGGGGAAGGUGCUGGGGGGGAGGAGCCUUCUGAAAAUUGUAUAAAGGCUGAGGGUGCGACGUGUUCACUAUCUGUGGGUGCUUCUUGUCUGCACUGUCAAUAACUGAUUGCUCUCAAUAAAAUCAGUAAAAUUUA